rnacentral:rRNA from 1 species
GACGAACGCUGGCGGCGUGCCUAAUACAUGCAAGUCGAGCGGACGGAUGGGAGCUUGCUCCCAGACCGUCAGCGGCGGACGGGUGAGUAACACGUGGGCAACCUGCCUGUAAGACUGGGAUAACUCCGGGAAACCGGGGCUAAUACCGGAUAACUCUUUCCCUCACAUGAGGGAAAGCUGAAAGAUGGCAUCUCGCUAUCACUUACAGAUGGGCCCGCGGCGCAUUAGCUAGUUGGUGAGGUAACGGCUCACCAAGGCGACGAUGCGUAGCCGACCUGAGAGCGUGAUCGGCCACACUGGGACUGAGACACGGCCGAGACUCCUACGGGAGGCAGCAGUAGGGAAUCUUCCGCAAUGGACGAAAGUCUGACGGAGCAACGCCGCGUGGGUGAUGAAGGUUUUCGGAUCGUAAAACUCUGUUGUCAGGGAAGAACAAGUACCGGAGUAACUGCCGGUACCUUGACGGUACCUGACCAGAAAGCCACGGCUAACUACGUG